AACUAAGAUAGAGGUGCGAAAUUUAAAAGUAGUAUUAUGGAGGUAAGCUCGAAGAAAUAAUACGAAAGGAACUUUCGCCGAAGUAAAUAGUUAAUUGCUUUAAUGCUAUUUGCUGGGCUUAUGUAGAACAUGCAUAAGACUGUCACGAAUUAUUUUGUGGAGAGCUAUUUUCAAU
rfam:Clostridium sp. Maddingley MBC34-26 contig_334_2, whole genome shotgun sequence.